rnacentral:lncRNA from 1 species
GGAGCUAAAAAGAAUUGAAGAAAAUACUCGACUAGCUAGGGUUCAGAGGAAUCCUAGGGUGAGAAAGGCUUUUGAAAAGGUCCGAUCUAAAUCAUAUAAGGUUGAAAUCAGGCUCAGAAGGCUAGGAUAUGCCGGAGCAAAGCCUUUAGAUGGCCGAAAACCUUGAUUCAACGAAGGUCUGGUCUCGAACCUUCAAGAAUCAUGCACACAUGAGUAAUAUGAGGUGGGUAUAUGUCAUCUAUGGCCUGAGAAAACAUGGAUCCUGGUGGGGUUGUGGUCGGAGAGGUGAUGGAUUUCAUCAGAGAAGAGAGAAUCAGAAGUUUCUAGAGACAAGGGAGAGGGAGAGACGAUAGAGAGAAAGAGAGACA